CGGAAUGAUGAUAGAUCCUAUCCGAAGUUUAUCACAUUUUCAGUUUAAUAAGAAGAUCAGAGUCCGUGUAUGCAGAAUUUGGAGACCUAAGGUUAUAGGAAAGGAUGCGUUUGGUGGUCUUCAAUGUAUAUUGGUUGACGAAAUGAAAGAUGCAAUUCAAGCCUCUGCAAAAGAAAUUGAUUAUGAGAAUGUUGCUCCAAAAAUUAAAGCUAAUCAUGUUUAUGAGAUCACUCGCUUUUCUACCAGUCGUUG